rnacentral:lncRNA from 1 species
CUUAUUUUCACUUAGCAUAAUGCCCGCACGUUCCAACCAUGUUGUCACAAAAAGGAAGAAUUCGUUGUUUUUUAUGGCUGAAUAAUUUUCCAUUGUGUGUAUACACCACAUCUCCUUUACCCAUUCAUCCAUCGAUGGACACUAAGUUUGUUUCCACAUCUUGGCUGUUAUAAAUGAUACUGCAGUGAACAUGGGGCUGCAGACAUCUUUUCAACCUGUCCGGGUCGUUUUGCUGGAGUCACUGUCUCUGCAGCUUCAUGGUCCAGCAUUGAUGGGGUUUCGGUUCAAUGGCUUCACUGAUGUGGAUCCUGCUGUACUAGACUUGCCUCUCAUUUUGGCAUAAUUAGUGAAAAAUAGGAAGAUUAGUCCUGAGCUAACAUCUGCCGCCAAUCCUCCUCUUUUUGCUGAGGAAGACUGGCCUUGAGCUAAGAUCUGUGC